rnacentral:rRNA from 1 species
UACGUAGGGUGCAAGCGUUGUCCGGAAUUAUUGGGCGUAAAGAGCUCGUAGGCGGUUUGUCGCGUCGGCUGUGAAAACUCGGGGCUCAACUCCGAGCUUGCAGUCGAUACGGGCAGACUAGAGUUCGGCAGGGGAGACUGGAAUUCCUGGUGUAGCGGUGAAAUGCGCAGAUAUCAGGAGGAACACCGGUGGCGAAGGCGGGUCUCUGGGCCGAUACCGACGCUGAGGAGCGAAAGCGUGGGGAGCGAACAGG